GUCUAUGGCCAUGUCACCCUGAACAAGCCUGAUCCCGUCUGAUCUCGGAAGCUAAGCAGGGUUGGGCCUCGUUAGUACUUGGAUGGGAGACCACCUAGGAAGACCAGGUGCUGUAGGCA
rnacentral:rRNA from 1 species